rnacentral:rRNA from 1 species
GACGAACGCUGGCGGCGUGCCUAAUACAUGCAAGUAGAACGCUAACGGAGGUGCUUGCUUCUCUGGAUGAGUUGCGAACGGGUGAUUAACGCGUAGGUAACCUGCCUUGUAGCGGGGGAUAACUAUUGGAAACCAUAUCUAAUACCGCAUAAGAGUAGAUGUCGCAUGACAUUUGCUUAAAAGCUGCAAUUGCAUCACUACUAGAUGGCCCUGCGUUGUAUUAGCUAGUUGGUUAGGUAACGGCCCACCAAUGCCACGGUACAUAGCCGGGCUGAGAGGGUGGUCGGGCAAAAUGGGACUGAGACACGGCCCAGACUUCCAAGGGGAGGAGCAGGAGGGAAUCUUCGGAAAAGGAGGGAAGGCUGGCCGAGCAACGCCGGGGGAGGGAAGAAGGUCCUCGGAUCGGAAAGCUGUGUUGGAAGAGAAGAAAGAGUGUGAGAGUGGAAAGUGCACAUUGUGACGGUAGCGUAACAGAAAGGGACGGCUAACUACGUG